UAAUAAAACAAUCAUUAUUUACACCUUCUCCAUCAUCAUUUAUUGGAUUUUCCCCAUCAGUUUUUUUUAUAUGAUUUUCAUUAAAAAAAAACAUCCUAAUUCCUCCUCUAAAACAACUCAACUCUCAAGAAUCUAAGGAAAUUCGUUCAAGAAAAGAUGUCUAAUCCCUUCUCUAGAUCUGAAGUUCUUCAAACAUUUUGAAGUAUGUAGAACCAUCCCUUUACAUCUGUUCUGGCUCUCAAGUCCACGGUCAGGCACCUUAUUAGGAUUCCUAACUUCUACUAUUGUUGAGCCUCUUUCCUACCAAGAGGCUGAAUGAGAUAUGAUGUUUUUUUUUAAUUUUCUUUCCUUUCAGUAUUAGUACUCAUUAGAGGCUUCGCAGGCUAGUGUAGUUGUCAAGCAAACUUUGUAAUUUUCAGUCUUCAUUUAUAAUAACUAUUUGUAUUCUUGAACUAUUAAUAAACUAGGGUGAAGUUUUAACUCCUUAGAAAAUCG